UAAAAAAAAAUACAGUCCAAUGGGCUUAUACUAAAAAGCCUUUUAGGGUUUUGUAAAUAGCAGCGUGGAAGAUCCGCAGCCGUUCAUAAACUUCGCAUUUUCCACCGUCGACGUCUUUAUAUACGAAUCGAAUCAACUCUAUCAAUAGUCGAUAACAAGGGUUUUAGCAGCGGCGAUAAUUAUGAAUCGACUCUUUGUUGCUAGAUUUGGUGCACUCUAGACUGCAAAAUGUUUAUGGAGAAGGUCAUUCGAAUAGUUGAAAGCGAGCAAGUAGGGAAAAAUAGCACAGAGGGGGAUGAGGCUGCUGGUUUACUUGAGAAUAUUUCGGUUGAGGAUAAGAAAAGUGUAGAGAAAGCCAAGGAAGAUGAUAAAGGGGAAAGCUCUGGUAAGGAAGAGAAGGAAGAACAAAAAAAAAACAAAGAUGAGCACCUGGUUGUUGACAUCACAAAUUAUUUGGUCACUUGGCAUUGACAUGAUAGUUGCUUCAAAAGGAGUCAUUCUUGGCCAUGUAUUAAUAUAGAAGAGAGUCUUACGAUUAUUGUUGUUGUUGUUAUAAGUGUUUGACUUGGGUGGUCUUUUUAUUCUGUCUUUUGUACUAUUUCUCAUCAAAUUAUAUUAUUAUUGGGUCUUUUAACUUUGUUUCAGACCAUAAUAUGUUGUCCUAUUCUGAUCAUGUUGUUAUUUUCCAUUUUAUAAAUGAAUAAAAAAUAUUCACUUUGA